rnacentral:rRNA from 1 species
GACGAACGCUGGCGGCGUGCCUAAUACAUGCCAGUAGAACGCUGAAGCGAGGAGCUUGCUCUUCUUGGAUGAGUUGCGAAAGGGUGAGUAACGCGUAGGUAACCUGCCUUGUAGCGGGGGAUAACUAUUGGAAACGAUAGCUAAUACCGCAUAACAACGGAUGACCCAUGGCUUUUAAUUGAAAGGGGCAAUUGCUCCACUACAAGAGGGACCUGCGUUGUAUUAGCUAGUAGGUGAGGUAAGGGCUCACCUAGGCGACGAUACAUAGCCGACCUGAGAGGACGAUCGGCCACCCUGGGGCUUGGACACGGCCCAGACGACUACGAGAGGCAGCAGUAGGGAAGCUUCGGGGAAGGGAGCAACACUGACCGAGCAACGCCGCGUGAAAGAAGAAGGGUUUCGGAUCGUAAAGCUCUGUUGUAAGUCAAGAACGGAUGUGAGAGUGGAAAGUUCACAAUGUGACGGUAGCUUACCAAAAAGGGACGGCUAACUACGUG